rnacentral:rRNA from 1 species
AACGGCAGCGAGGAGAAGCUUGCUUCUCUGUCGGCGAGUGGCGAACGGGUGAGUAUAGCAUCGGAACGUGCCAAGUAGUGGGGGAUAACCAAACGAAAGUUUGGCUAAUACCGCGUAAGCUCCAAGGAGGAAAGUAGGGGACCUAAUAAGGCCUUACGCUAUUUGAUCGGCCGAUGUCGGAUUAGCUAGUUGGUGGGGUAAUGGCUCACCAAGGCAAUGAUCCGUAGCGGGUCUGAGAGGACGAUCCGCCACACUGGGACUGAGACACGGCCCAGACUCCUACGGGAGGCAGCAGUGGGGAAUUUUGGACAAUGGGGGAAACCCUGAUCCAGCCAUGCCGCGUGUAUGAAGAAGGCCUUAGGGUUGUAAAGUACUUUUGUUAGGGAAGAAAAGCUAGUUUUUAAUAAAAAUUAGUGAUGACGGUACCUAAAGAAUAAGCACCGGCUAACUACGUGCCAGCAGCCGCGGUAAUACGUAGGGUGCAAGCGUUAAUCGGAAUUAUUGGGCGUAAAGCGAGUGCAGACGGUUACUUAAGCCAGAUGUGAAAUCCCUAAGCUUAACUUGGGACGUGCAUUUGGAACUGGGUGACUAGAGUGUGUCAGAGGGAGGUAGAAUUCCACAUGUAGCGGCGGAAUGCGUAGAGAUGUGGAGGAAUACCGAUGGCGAAGGCAGCCUCCCGGGAUAACACUGGCGUUGAGGCUCGAAAGCGUGGGGAGCAAACAGGAUUA